UACGUAGGGUGCGAGCGUUGCCCGGAUUUAUUGGGCGUAAAGGGCGCGUAGGCGGCCACGCACGUCCGUUGUGAAAUCGCCCGGCUCAACUGGGCGGGGUCAGCGGAUACGGUGUGGCUAGAGCAAGCUAGGGGGCAAUGGAAUUCCCGGUGUAGUGGUGAAAUGCGUAGAUAUCGGAAGGAACACCAGUGGCGAAAGCGGCUUCCUGGUCCAGCACCGACGUUCAGGCACGAAAGCGUGGGGAGCAAACAGG
rnacentral:rRNA from 1 species